rnacentral:misc_RNA from 1 species
GUCAUCCGGAUCUACAAUUUCGGGUCGAAUAGAUAAGUAGCCGGAAUUACUUUGGAAUUGGGUCAAAGUUAUAGGCUACCCCACCAUUUUCAGAUGUUCUGGACACGUUCCAGUUGUCAGAUUUGGUAUAGGUAAACUCAAACUCUAUAUUACUCAAUUUUUGCCUUGUACUGGGUUAGAAUAAAAUUUAUAAAAUAUUCGUGGAUGAUAAGAAAAUUACGAUUCCUAUUGCAAUAGCCUUAUAAUAUUGUUAAAGACCGCGAGGCAGGUUUAUAGAAUUUUUAAAGUUAGUUUGGAUAGUUUUUGAAAAAUAUUAGUUUUGAAGUCUUAUAAUUGAGUUGUCUGAUGUUGUGAUUAUUGCUUGGUUUGGAGGGCCUAAGAGGGGCCAUAUAAUGAUGAUGGGAUAUGGGUUGAGUUUAGAAGUGUUAUUUGAACCAUUUUGCAAGUUGGGUAGGUCCUAGGUAUAGUAUAGGAGAGACUCUGCGGAUUUUCGGUACGACUUAGGAUAUCUUUGGUCUUUUCUUAGUUUGUAUUGAGUCAAAUUUAUUAAAUGAUUGAAAUAAAGUUGUUAGGUGAGCCGAGAUAGCCUUCUUCCUCCGCUCAGCCGCCAUAGUGACUGCUGUCAAGUCUGUGAAUAAAAUAUUAA